UGAGGGAGGGCUGGACGUUUGGCUCUGCCUCUCCACUUUGAAGACUGUGCGUGUCUCGCAUGCCUCACAUUGAAGACAAGUCCUUGGAGAAGGUGUGAAUAACUCGUCCGAUGAAGAGAUGAGAAAAGCAGCCUGGUCUGUCAAGAAGAUACAUGCACAAGAUGAGUGGCAAGCAACACAGGCAACACCAUUACAUGUUCUUGUAAUUGUUGGUCAGCGUUGUGCUUCAUGGCAAUUUGUACCCAAAGAGGCCUGAAGACUGUAUUUGAAAAGAAAGCGACCUUAUGGAGACUCCUCCACUGAUCCAGUCGUCCGCCGUGAAGAUCAGGACACUACAUAGGGCAAGGCCACGUUACACUGGUGACGGACACUGACAGCCUAGAACAUUAAACGCUUCAUCAACACACGGAGGAUAUCUGAAGGCGGACGUCAACAACAUGAACAGAGUAAUAGCUCUAAGGAAAGUCAUGGAAACUUUCAGGAGACCUAGGUUAAGAUACCUACCGUAUAUUUCCAAAUAAAAUUCUGUCCACAACCUACUGUGUACACGUAUCACUUAUGUAAUCUCAUAA